rnacentral:rRNA from 1 species
UACGUAGGUGACAAGCGUUGUCCGGAUUUACGUGGGCGUAAAGAGCGCGCAGGCGGUCGAUCAAAGUCGAGUGUGAAAGCCCCCGGCUCAACUGGGGAGGGUCAUUCGAUACUGAUCGACUCGAAGGCAGGAGAGGGUAGUGGAAUUCCCGGUGUAGUGGUGAAAUGCGUAGAUAUCAGGAGGAACACCAAUGGCGAAGGCAGCUCGCUGGGACGUGACUGACGCUGAGACGCGAAAGCGUGGGGAGC